rnacentral:rRNA from 1 species
CCUACGGGAGGCAGCAGUGGGGAAUUUUCCGCAAUGGGCGAAAGCCUGACGGAGCAACGCCGCGUGAGGGAUGAAGGCCUCUGGGCUGUAAACCUCUUUUAUCAAGGAAGAAGAUCUGACGGUACUUGAUGAAUAAGCCACGGCUAAUUCCGUGCCAGCAGCCGCGGUAAUACGGGAGUGGCAAGCGUUAUCCGGAAUUAUUGGGCGUAAAGCGUCCGCAGGCGGUCUUGUAAGUCUGUCGUUAAAGCGUGGAGCUCAACUCCAUUUCGGCGGUGGAAACUACAAGACUAGAGUGUGGUAGGGGCAGAGGGAAUUCCCGGUGUAGCGGUGAAAUGCGUAGAUAUCGGGAAGAACACCAGUGGCGAAGGCGCUCUGCUGGGCCAUAACUGACGCUCAUGGACGAAAGCUAGGGGAGCGAAAGGGAUUAGAUACCCCUGUAGUCCUAGCCGUAAACGAUGAACACUAGGUGUCGGGGAAUCGACCCCUCGGUGUCGUAGCUAACGCGUUAAGUGUUCCGCCUGGGGAGUACGCACGCAGUGUGACGUACAAUAGAGUUAGACGGCGUGUAGACGUUGCGAGGCGACGACGAGGGAGGUUAGG